AAAAAACUAAUUUUGCAAUUAAGAACUUGGGUAAUGGAACUAACAAAUAAAAAAUUAACAGGAAAGCUAACUGAAUUGAGAUUUAUAUUGAAAAUGUAUGCAAUAGAACCUAUAACAGAAAUUGUGGUAAAGGAACCGUUUGCUAUAUGGACCUUUCUUUUUCAGAGCAUAGGAAAUAGAUAGAGAAUUUAUUUGAAGAGCCUGUCA
rnacentral:misc_RNA from 1 species